AACGAACGCUGGCGGCAUGCCUAACACAUGCAAGUCGAACGAGACCUUCGGGUCUAGUGGCGCACGGGUGCGUAACGCGUGGGAAUCUGCCCUUGGGUUCGGAAUAACAGUUAGAAAUGACUGCUAAUACCGGAUAAUGUCUUCGGACCAAAGAUUUAUCGCCCAGGGAUGAGCCCGCGUAGGAUUAGCUAGUUGGUGAGGUAAAGGCUCACCAAGGCGACGAUCCUUAGCUGGUCUGAGAGGAUGAUCAGCCACACUGGGACUGAGACACGGCCCAGACUCCUACGGGAGGCAGCAGUGGGGAAUAUUGGACAAUGGCGAAAGCCUGAUCCAGCAAUGCCGCGUGAGUGAUGAAGGCCUUAGGGUUGUAAAGCUCUUUACCCGGGAUGAUAAUGACAGUACCGGGAGAAUAAG
rnacentral:rRNA from 1 species